GAAGAAAAUAAACAGAAGGUAAUCUCAAUCUUUCGAGUAAUGGACAGCAGUACAAUUUAAAGCAAAUGACCUACCCUCAUUCAUGGCGUUCAAUGGCGUAGGUGCCCAUCCAUCGGCAACGGCAGGCCAGGCCAGAGUGGACGAGGGGGAAUUCAAUGGAGGAGGCAAAGUGGAGAGGGAACCAUUGGCACCCGCACUGUAGUUCCACUUGUGCGGUGUGGGUGGUGUAGAUGGAGUUAAUUCCGCAUCCACCCAGCUAGGGCAAGCAAGGGAAAGAGAAAUUAAGCAUGCGGCCGGACUCGUUUCUCACCGGUGCAUGUCCUCUCCUCAUCAUGGUUGCUUCCAUUCUCAUCUUGAGCAUGGAAAGGUGAUGCUUCUCUUCCUCCAAAUGCCGCUUCCUCUCGGUGAAACUGUGGAACUAGUAGAAAAGUUCAUGGUCAAUGUUCUGGCGCUGUCGGAAACUCGCAAUCUCGCUUGUUUUUUGGUCCAUUUUGGCAAGAUUCUUCCCGGCACAGUAGCUAGUAAGAGCAUCUACCCCGGACUUAGCAAAUAUGACCUCUGUUGCGAACGUGUCCUUUUUAAGUCCUUACUUUUUCGUUCGCGUAGCCGCAUUUUUUAUAUAUCCGGUGACUUGUAGAUGGUUCAUGAAGAAGAGAGAAGAAAAAGAAAAAGAAAAUAAAAGAAAAAUAUAUUCUGGGGUGGGGUUGCGUCCUACGUGAUGGACUGACCAGACGUGUUUGAACGCGUUCACGAGC
rnacentral:lncRNA from 1 species